ACCACUAUAGUUGUUGUCUCUCUUCCAGACCAAGAAUAAGAAUUUCCAGAGUGGCUGCCAAAUGCAUCCGCUGACCAUGAUGGAAACUACCCCUGGCUCAGAAGACCAUUCCCCAGGGUGGUCCAGUGCCCAGGGAACCGCGCCCCGAGAAACAAAGCAGCCUGACCUGGCAGACAGAACGCGGAACUGGGAGACAGGACACCCACCUUCGAAUCCCGGCUCUGCCACUUAAUAAUUAAAAUAAUAAGCAUGGUAUCUAGACUGUAAACUCACUGUGGGCAGGGAAUGUGUCUGCUUAUUGUAUUGUUCUCUCCCAGUAAAUACUAUUGAACGAAUGGAUGAAUCUUGAGCACUUACUCUGUGUUGAGCACUGUUCUGAACGCUGGGGUAGAUAUAAGGUAAUCAGGUCGGACAAGGUCCCCGUCCAAUAUGGAGCUCACAGGCCAAAUUGGAGGGAGAAGGAUUUGAUCCUCGAUUUACAGAUGAGGUAACUGAGACAUGGAGAAGUCAAGUGACUUGCCUGAGGUCACACAGGUGGAAAGUGACAGUGCUGGGAUGAGAACUCAGGUCCUCUGAAGGCCCCAGUGCUUUCCACCAGGCCAUGCUGCAUGGGCAAGUCACAUGAGUUUGCAGUACCUCAUUAAAGUCAGGAAACUUCUCUUCCUCUCCCUGAGACUGUGAGUCCUGGGUAGGACUGUGUGGCCAAUCUGAUGAUCUUGUAACUGCUCCAGAGCUUACGCAGGGCUGGGCACAUAGGAAACGCUUAAAAAGCACCACAGUAAUUAUGGAAAUAGAUAAUAACUGGGAGAAGCACUCUGACCAAGUGGAAAGAACACAGUCCCGGGAGCCAAAGUUCUAAUCCCACCUCUGCCACUUGCCUACUGUGUGACCUCGGGCAAGUCACGUAACAG
rnacentral:lncRNA from 1 species